rnacentral:rRNA from 1 species
CCUGGUUGAUUCUGCCCGUAUUCAUAUGCUUGUCUCAAAGAUUAAGCCAUGCAUGUCUAAGUAUAAACACGUUAUACUGUGAAACUGCGAAUGGCUCAUUAAAUCAGUUAUAGUUUAUUUGAUGGUUUUUGCUACAUGGAUAACUGUGGUAAUUCUAGAGCUAAUACAUGCGUAUAAGCCCCGACUUCUGGAAGGGGUGUAUUUAUUAGAUAAAAAUCAACACUGUUGGUGAAUCAUGAUAACUUCUCGGAUCGCAUGGCCUCGUGCUGGCGAUACUUCAUUCAAAUAUCUGCCCUAUCAACUGUCGAUGGUAGGAUAGAGGCCUACCAUGGUUGCAACGGGUAACGGGGAAUAAGGGUUCGAUUCCGGAGAGGGAGCCUGAGAAACGGCUACCACAUCCAAGGAAGGCAGCAGGCGCGCAAAUUACCCAAUCCCGACACGGGGAGGUAGUGACAAUAUGUAACAAUAUACGGCUUUAUCGUCGUAUAAUUGGAAUGAGUACAAUUUAAAUCCCUUAACGAGGAACAAUUGGAGGGCAAGUCUGGUGCCAGCAGCCGCGGUAAUUCCAGCUCCAAUAGCGUAUAUUAAAGUUGUUGCAGUUAAAAAGCUCGUAGUUGGACCUUGGGCCUGGACGGGCGGUCCGCCUCACGGCGUGUACUGUCUUGCCGGGCCUUUCCUCUUGGUGAUCUGUUGUUUCGGCAGCAGGGAACCAGGACCUUUACUUUGAAAAAAUUAGAGUGUUCAAAGCAGGCUCGACGCCGGAAUAUAUUAGCAUGGAAUAAUAAAAUAGGACGUGCGGUUCUAUUUUGUUGGUUUUUGGAAUCGCCGUAAUGAUUAAUAGGGACAGUCGGGGGCAUUAGUACUCACAUGCUAGAAGUGAAAUUCUUGGAUUUUGU